rnacentral:misc_RNA from 1 species
GAUGAAGAACGCAGUGAAAUGCGAUACGUAAUGUGAAUUGCAGAAUUCAGUGAAUCAUCGAGUCUUUGAACGCACAUUGCGCCCUCUGGUAUUCCGGAGGGCAUGCCUGUCCGAGCGUCAUUGCUGCCCUCAAGCACGGCUUGUGUGUUGGGCUCCGUCCUCCUUCCGGGGGACGGGCCCGAAAGGCAGCGGCGGCACCGCGUCCGGUCCUCAAGCGUAUGGGGCUUUGUCACCCGCUUUGUAGGACUGGCCGGCGCCUGCCGAUCAACCAAACUUUUUUCCAGGUUGACCUCGGAUCAGGUAGGGAUACUCGCUGAACUUAAGCAUAUCAAUAAGCGGAGGA